rnacentral:snoRNA from 1 species
GGACUGGAUGAUGAAGAAUUUAUCCAGUACAUCAUCACCGGUCUUGGACCGGACUUCAGUGAGGUGGUGUCCGCCGUUUGCGCUAGAGCUGAGCCGAUUUCGGUGGGAGAGCUGUAUGCGCAGCUCCUCAGCUUUGAGA